GUGUCUGUAGUGUAGCGGUUAUCACGUCCGCUUUACACGCGGAAUGUCUCAGGUUCGAUCCUGGCAGACACA
rnacentral:tRNA from 1 species